rnacentral:rRNA from 1 species
CCCUGGUGGCGAGUGGCGAACGGGUGAGUAAUACAUCGGAACGUGUCCAGUCGUGGGGGAUAACCAGUCGAAAGACUGGCUAAUACCGCAUGAGAUCGAGAGAUGAAAGCAGGGGACCGCAAGGCCUUGCGCGAUUGGAGCGGCCGAUGUCGGAUUAGCUUGUUGGUGAGGUAAAAGCUCACCAAGGCGACGAUCCGUAGCUGGUUUGAGAGAACGACCAGCCACACUGGGACUGAGACACGGCCCAGACUCCUACGGGAGGCAGCAGUGGGGAAUUUUGGACAAUGGGGGCAACCCUGAUCCAGCCAUGCCGCGUGUGUGAAGAAGGCCUUCGGGUUGUAAAGCACUUUCGGACGGAACGAAAUCGCGUCGGUGAAUAUCCGGCGUGGAUGACGGUACCGUAAGAAGAAGCACCGGCUAACUACGUGCCAGCAGCCGCGGUAAUACGCAGGGUGCGAGCGUUAAUCGGAAUUACUGGGCGUAAAGCGUGCG